GGGAAACUACAAAUUCCAGGAACUUGGACAGCACACAAACAACACAAGUCAGAAGAAGCUGCUUAGCACCUCCUCUUUUGUCCCAACACAUUCUUCUCUCACAGGCAACCCAAGUGCUGGAAAAUAUUUAAAACAACAAACCCCACACGUCACAUGGUCAAAGGGCAUAGACAAGGUGAUGUCAUGACCACAGCUGGGAAGACUCCAACUUCAAGCUGGUCUUGAACAUUAAAAUCCCUCCUGGCUACUUCUUGCUGUCCGUCACCACUGAUUCUUCUCCCAGCAGAAGGUGGACGCCAGCUGAGUGGAAGGCCAAACAAUCACUGGCUCUGACUGAGUGGACACACGUGACCCAAGUGGCCAGCACCCCUAAAAGACAAAUGCUGGACUGGCUCCCAGUCCCAGUCUGCAGGGCGGCCUCCUGCAUGGAAGACUCUGGUCUGAGGUGAGCUGAGAGCCGGUCCUGUCCACGCCACCUCAUCAGUACUCGCAUGUUUGCCUCUCACAGGCACUUGCUUCUAGAACAUUUGUACGCCUUGCAUCAACAUUUUGACAGAGCACGCCGUCAAUCAGCUUCCAGGCUGGCGCAGUCAAGUUCUAUCAAGCCGGGUCAGGACGGGGGUUUCCUGAAAAGACCCAUAAACUUCACCUCGACACACAACUCUGGCAGCUUUCAGGCUCUUCCCACAUUCGUCCCUUUCUUCCUUGGGAUACAAAAUCUUCAAAGUUGCUUGUUGAAAUAUCAGGGUUCUUGGGACUUUCCCAGCAUGCAUCUGGAUAUCUUGGUGAUUGAUCAGAUGUCCAAGCAGCACAAUGUCAACAUGUCCGCCGGUCUCAACCUGGCCUGUGUGACUCACUUGACUCCAGAAGCCAAAUUUAAAGAAAAACAUGGGUCUGGGGGAUGUUGUAUUUAUUUUUAGGAACACUAAUACAAAACCUCUUAAUAAUCAACUUUAUGACAGACCACAUUUUUACUGAACGAGAAAGCCAGAAUGUACAUGAAUAUAAAGCAUGUGGGAUUUACAUGAUCGACUAUAAACAAUAAAACACUGAAUAUUGACUACAUAUCCUAAUUUCCCCUCUGGGAUUAAUCAAGUAUUUCUGAUCCUACACGACCAUAGUAACUCAUUACAUUACCAUAGUAACUCAUUACAUUACCAUUGUAACUAAAUACAUGACCAUAGUAACUCGUUACAUGAGCAUAGUAACUCAUUACAUGACUAUAGUAACUCAUUAGAUUACCAUUGUAACUAAAUACAUGACCAUAGUAACUAAUUGCAUUACCAUAGUAACUAAUUAGAUGACCGGAGUAAAUAAUUACAUUACUAUAGUAACUGAUUAGACGACCUUAGCAGAUAAUUAGAU